rnacentral:lncRNA from 1 species
UAGACAAGUAAAUUUAUCUUUGUGAGCUUCCAUUUUUCCUCUUCAUCUGUCAAAGUUGCAUAAUAUCACCCAAAAGAACUUUUCAAGAAUGAAAUAAAAUGAAUUUAUUUGAAAGUGCAGCACAUAGUGAGCACUCUCUAAAAGUCUAUCAUAAAUUCAACUUAAGUGUAAUUUCUUUAAAAUGUUGUAUAUUAAAACAUCUACAGCUAUUUUGCGUUCUCAUAUCAUCAAGAGUAUUAUUGCUGUCAUUUAAUUUUUAAAACCUUGAGCUUUAUGACUUUACAGUUUUUCUCUAUUUAAGUGCAGCUUUAUUGUAUCUUGAAAAUAGAAUAUUUUCCCUAAAUACACAAUUCUCUAAUUGUUUUUAUUGAACAAAGGCUUCAGUCUCUCAAGUACAUGAAUAUUAAAUAUAUUUUCUCUCCCUUAAGAUUUUUAAAAUAACAUUUUCUUUCUCUAGCUUACUUUAUUGUAAGAAUAGAGUACAUAAUACAUAUAACGGAGGAAAUAUGUAUUAACUGACGGUUUAUGUUAUUGGUAAGGCUUCUGGUCAUCAAGCCUCAGAGGAAAUAGGCAGGGCUUCUGCUUCCCAAGAGAGACUCCCACCCGCCCCAUCACUUCUUUCUCUGAUGCCAUUUCUUUCCGAUUCAAAUUUCUAAACCCUUUGGAGACACGAAACAGCCUU